rnacentral:rRNA from 1 species
GGGGGGGGGGGGGGGGGGGUGGGGGACGGGGGGGUGGUGGGGAGGGACAGUGCGGUCGGGGUGUGAGGGGGGGGGCGGGGCGGACGGGUGAGGGAGGGGUUGGCAUCGGCCACUUCGUGGGUGAUAACGUGGGGAAACUUUGGGUAAUACGGCAUACGAUCGACGGCUGAAAGCCGGGGUACUGAGGACAUUGGGCUAUUGAAGAAGCAGAUGGAGGAUUAGCUAGUUGGCGGGGUAAGGGCCCACCAGGGCUACGAUCCGUAGCUGGUCUGCGAGGCUGAUCAGCCACACUGGAACUGAGACACGGUCCAGACUCCUACGGGAGGCAGCAGUGGGGAAUAUUGGACAAUGGGCGCGAGCCUGAUCCAGCCAUACCGCGUGGGUGAAGAAGGCCUUCGGGUUGUAAAGCCCUUUUGUUGGGAAAGAAAAGCAGCAGGUUAAUACCCCGCUGUUCUGACGGUACCCAAAGAAUAAGCACCGGCUAACUUCGUG